GAUCGCCUGGGGAAGAAAGAGGAGGUGAAGGUGGAGAUAGAGAUCGGAAGGGAUAAGGAGUGUUUCCCAUGGGGAACUGCUUAGGGGGCAGCUCCUACUCCUACGUCAACAAGGUCUCCUCCACUGCAAGGCCGGGCUCACAAUAUUCUGGAAGCUAAAGACUCAACCAGCAGCUCUAAGCCUGCAAGCUCUGGGUCAGGGUAUGCCAAGCUGCCGCCGACCGCGCCGACGGCCAAGCCGCCGCUGACCCGGAUUCAUCUGCACCAACAGAUCACAGAGUCACAGAGAAACAUCUCGAGGUAAUCCCAACUUUAAG